rnacentral:rRNA from 1 species
UAAUGCCUACGGGGGGCAGCAGUAGGGAAUCUUCCACAAUGGGCGAAAGCCUGAUGGAGCAACGCCGCGUGGGUGAAGAAGGUCUUCGGAUCGUAAAACCCUGUUGUUAGAGAAGAAAGUGCGUGAGAGUAACUGUUCACGUUUCGACGGUAUAUAACCAGAAAGCCACGGCUAACUACGUGCCAGCAGCCGCGGUAAUACGUAGGUGGCAAGCGUUAUCCGGAUUUAUUGGGCGUAAAGGGAACGCAGGCGGUCUUGUAAGACUGAUGGGAAAGCCUUCGG